rnacentral:lncRNA from 1 species
UUAUGAAAAUUACCAUGCCUUAUAGAAAAUAGAAGUGAUUGUAAUUUAAAAAAACGUAUGUAUACAAAACUCAUUUUCCCUCUUUCUUCUUUUUCUGUCCUUUUCCCUUUCCUCCUUUCCUCCCUCCCUUUCUUCUUUUGCCUUCUUCCUUUUUAAAUAUUUUUCGAACAUGUUAAAAUCUAAUAUAGCCUUUGAAUUCAUUUUUCUUCUUUUCACCAGACAUUGGUGUGCAAGUGGCAAAAAGAGUCCUGUCCCAGCACUGCAAGGGGAAGAUAAAGGCUCGUCAUCUGUGCGUGCGUCCAUCUGAGUGGAACGUGUGUCCCGGGGGCUGCUGCCACCGCGCCGGUCCCUCCUGUAAUCCGAGCCCGUGUCAGAGGACGCGGCGCCUGCAAGGAAGAAGGGUUGCCGCAGGUGUGGCCAGAUCCUCUAGGCAAGAGGUGUGGAUUCAGGUCCUACUAGUCUUACUCCUGAUGAAGCUGGGCAAAUCAGUUGGCUCUGGAGUAAUUAGUAGCCCCUUCCUCACUGACCAUUGCAAGGAAAUACCAGUGAACUUGAGUUUCUCCAAUGAAGGUGAUCACAGUGAUGAAUGACUUGGCUUCUGCACAGCAAAAGACAUGAUCAUCAGAGCGAACAGACAACCUACAGAAUGGGAGAGCAUUUGUGCCAUCUAUCCAUCUGACAAAAGUCUAAAAUCCAAAGUUUACAAAGAACUUAAACAAAUUUACAAGAAAAAAACAAACGACCCCGUUAAAAAGUGGGCAAAGGAGAUGAACAGACACUUCUCCAAAGAAGACAUUCAUGCAGCCAAC